GAGAGAGAAACAGGGACAGAGAGGAGAGAGAGAGAGAGAUCGAAACCCUAAUUCCUUCAUCUCAUCGCCUGCUGAAAUCUUUUUAUAAUUAGAAAGUUCCUUGCCCUAAGCGCUCCUUCCGGAGAAUUCUCCCCAAAUAUCCGAAACUGCCAUAUCUGUGUCACUCGCGGCGGGAUUUGUCCAGAUACUUCUCAUCUUCCCUAGAUUCCAAGCUCUCGAUCGAUACGAUUUUCAUCCCUUUCAGCUGAGAAUCUGCUGUUGUCUGUGUUCGAGCCUUCCGAGCUCUGGAAGCACCGUUUUCUUCCGGGACGAGCAAAAUGAUGCUUUGAAUCUCGAAUCGAGCUUGGAAGCGUUGCGUCUCAGCAAAAACACGGCGGCUUCUCAGUCAGAGCUCUGAGUGAUCGAGUCCACGGGUUCUAUGACAUACGAAGCAGCGGAUUGUAGCAAAAAAAAAAAUGCCCUUAUUUGAAUCUUUUAUAGCAAUGGAGUUGUAGCCGUUGAUCGUUGGAGAUUCGUAGGCGAUAGUCUCAAAUCAAGCUGCAGAUCAACAGAGAUUUUCAGUCGGAGCUAGAAGUGAUAGCAUCUGCAGAAUUUGCAGCAUUUUGAGCAGUGGAUUUUGCUAAAGAUCCGCCCUUUUUACCCUAAAUAGAAACUUCUGCGGGCAUGGAAUCAUAGCCAUUGAUCCUUGGAGAUUUGUAAGCGAUAAUCUCAUAUCUUGCUUCAAAGGAUGGUGUUUUUGGGCGUUAAAUGGCUGGAUCUGUAGAAUCUACAGCAUUAAACCAGCUGCUUGUGCUAAAAAUCGGCUUUUUUUUUUUCUCUCUCUUUUGCUUUGAUUUGAAAUUUAAAGAAAUGGAAUUGAGUGGAUAAUAAGUGAUCUUCAGAGAUUCGUCAUUGCUGUCUGUCCUCCUUUAGCUCCGUUUGCUUAUGUCAUGGUAAUGGAGUUAGUGCUAGAUUCCGAAAGGUUUUGAAGGUUGGGGCACGGUUGAUCUUUUGUUCUCGUGUAUUUUGAGUUGUAGAGAGGGAGAGCGGGGGAGGAACCGAUGUCUUUCAAGAGUAUUAUCCAAGACAUGAAAGGUGAGAUUGGUAGCAUUUCGAGGAAAGGAUUUGAUGUGAAGAUCGGGUAUGGAUUGAGGUCAAGGUCGCAUAGAGUAGUUCAAGAUGUUCCUGUACCGCUGAUUGAUGCUUUGAAGCAGAGUUGUUGGGCAAACAUGCCUCCGGAGCUCCUCAGGGAUGUGUUGAUGAGGUUAGAAGCUGCGGAGAGCUCAUGGCCAUUAAGGAAGCAUGUGGUUGCUUGCGCGGGGGUCUGCAGGAGUUGGAGGGAAAUCACAAAAGAGAUUGUGAAGACCCCUGAAUUGUCGGGGAAGUUGACGUUUCCAAUCUCAUUGAAGCAGCCUGGUCCAAGGGAUUCCCUUCUUCAGUGUUUCAUAAAACGAAAUAGAAGUACGCAAACUUAUCAUCUGUACCUCGGUUUGACUCAAGCACUGACUGAUAAUGGCAAGUUCCUCCUUGCUGCACGCAAAUGUCGGCGUCCCACAUGCACAGACUACAUCAUUUCUGUUGAUGCUGAGGACAUGUCUAAAGGAAGUGGUACCUACAUUGGAAAGCUAAGAUCGAACUUUCUGGGGACCAAAUUCACUGCAUAUGAUGCUCAGCCUCCUCAUGCUGGAGCGAUGGUUGCAAAAAGUCGUUCAACUCGCCUAGUGGGUUUGAAGCAAGUCUCCCCUAGAGUCCCUGCUGGCAACUACCCAGUUGCACACAUUGCCUAUGAGUUGAAUGUUUUGGGUUCCAGAGGUCCAAGGAGAAUGCAGUGUGUUAUGGAUUCCAUCCCUGCCUCUGCAAUUGAACCAGGAGGUGUGGCCCCUACUCCAACAGAGUUUCCUGUUGGGAGUGUUGAUUCCUUCCCGUCAAUCCCAUUCUUCCGGUCCAAGUCAUCAGCCCGUUCAGAGAGCUACUCGUCAGGGCCUUUGACCAGCCCGAAAGAUGGGGUGUUGGUCUUGAAGAAUAAGGCUCCGAGGUGGCAUGAGCAGCUACAGUGCUGGUGUUUGAAUUUUCGAGGAAGGGUGACAGUUGCUUCCGUCAAGAAUUUCCAGCUGGUGGCUUCACCAGAAAAUGGGCAGGCAAGCCAGGAGCAUGAAAAGGUCCUGCUCCAGUUUGGAAAAGUCGGAAAGGACUUGUUCACCAUGGAUUAUCGGUACCCAAUCUCCGCUUUUCAGGCAUUCGCCAUCUGCCUCAGCAGCUUCGACACCAAGAUUGCUUGCGAAUGACAAACAGGUGGGAGCUACUGGAACAUGCCUGGCCCUAAAUCAAUCUCCACUCAUCAGGUGGGCCACAUAUGUUCGUUGAACAUAAAACCAGGGUAUGUUCAGGAUGGCGCCACCUAAGGACUUAAUCAUUCUCACCUUAAUGGCCAGAGCUUCCAAAUCUAAACCACCCAGAGAUUUCACUAUAAAAGAAGUGGCAGAUGUCUCUCCCAAAAGUAGGGGUUGAUCUGGCAGUCUAAUAAAGAUCAUUGGAGAAGCUGAGGAGGAUGUAGCGCCAGAGGUUGGAAGACUCAUGGUUCGAGCCGCAGGCAGGUUGGUUGAUUCUGUCUCCUUGUAUAUUUACUGUCUUGGUGGUGUACAUAGACUUCUAUAGAAGAGAGAUUCCAUCACUCUAUUGCAUGAUCAUUCCCUACCUGUGCUGCCUGCCCACAGAACAGUUAUCUGUUUUUCUGUGAAAAAUGAACGGAACCUUAGAGUUUAAUUUAUAGGCUGCUCCAUUGCGUGUGAUGUGGCUGUCUAGCUGGCAAGAUUGCUGCCGUCCAUUUGCAUACCAGUGAGCUUGUUGCUGCUGCUGAUGCUGCUCUGUUGUUGUUUGUUUCUACAUGUAUUUCAAAAACAUUCAGCUGUUUUUUUUCUUCAAAGCACAAUUUGGAUGCUGACUACUGCAAUUUUUAUUUGGAAAAAGAGAUGCCUGGCCGAUUCAUGUGGCACACGUCUGAGAUCUGGGUCAUUCAAUGUGA